UGAGUACGAGCUGCUACGGCAGCGAAGUGGGUGAUGUCAUGCUUCCAAGAAAAGCCCUAUACCCGUUAAGGCAUGAUGGCCUGUACCCGAAACCGACACAGGUGGGGUGGUAGAGAAUACCGAGGGGCGCGAGGUAGCUCUCUCUAAGGAACUCGGCAAAAUGGCCCCGUAACUUCGGGAGAAGGGGUGCCACCGCAAGGUGGUCGCAGUGAAGAGGCCCAGGCGACUGUUUACCAAAAACACAGGUCUCCGCUAAGUCGCAAGACGAUGUAUGGGGGCUGACGCCUGCCCAGUGCCGGAAGGUUAGGGAAGCUGGUCAGCGUAAGCGAAGCUAGCGACUGAAGCCCCGGUGAACGGCGGCCGUAACAAUAACGGUCCUAAGGUAGCGAAAUUCCUUGUCGGGUAAGUUCCGACCCGCACGAAAGGCGUAACGAUCUGGGCGCUGUCUCGGAGAGAGGCUCGGCGAAAUAGAAUUGUCUGUGAAGAUGCGGACUACGUGCACCCGGACAGAAAGACCCUAUGAAGCUUUACUGUAGCUUGGUAUUGUGCUCGGGCUCGGAAUGCGCAGGAUAGGUGGGAGGCUAUGAACCAUUGCUUGCGGGUGAUGGUGAGCCACUGGUGAGAUACCACUCUUUCCGAGCUAGAGUUCUAACAGCCACCCGUUAUCCGGGGGCUGGACAGUAUCAGGUGGGCAGUUUGACUGGGGCGGUCGCCUCCUAAAAGGUAACGGAGGCGCGCAAAGGUUUGCUCAGGCUGGUUGGAAAUCAGCCGACGAGUGUAAAAGCAGAAGCAAGCUUGACUGUGAGACCUACAAGUCGAACAGGGAGGAAACUCGGCUUUAGUGAUCCGACGGUUCUGCGUGGAAGGGCCGUCGCUCAACGGAUAAAAGUUACUCUAGGAUAACAGGCUGAUCUCCCCCAAGAGUUCACAUCGACGGGGAGGUUUGGCACCUCGAUGUCGGCUCAUCGCAACCUGGGGCUGAAGUCGGUCCCAAGGGUUGGGCUGUUCGCCCAUUAAAGCGGUACGCGAGCUGGGUUCAGAACGCCGUGAGACAGUUCGGUCCAUAUCCGGUGCAUGCGCAGGAAUAUUGAGAGGAUUUCUCCCUAGUACGAGAGGACCGGGAGGAACGCACCUCUGGUGUACCAGUUAUCGUGCCAACGGUAAACGCUGGGUAGCCAUGUGCGGAGAGGAUAACCGCUGAAAGCAUCUAAGUGGGAAGCCCACCUCAAGAUGAGUAUUCCCAUGGGGUAACCCAGUAAGGUCACGGGAAGAACACCCGUUGAUAGGCUCUACGUGGAAGCGCAGUAAUGUGUGAAGCGGAGGAGUACUAAUAGACCGAGGGCUUGACC
rnacentral:rRNA from 1 species